AUGCUCUUUACCACCUGCCUGCACAUCACUGUCAGUAUGAUCAAGCACAGAACACAUCUGGUCCUGUUUGUACCUCCUGGUACCUGGCACAUGGGAAUGAGUAAUCCAGUAAGCACUGGAGGAAUAGAAAAAAGAAAAAGGAGAAAAGCGAAGAAGGCUGAGCCUGAGAAGGGCUGCUUGUUCGAAGCAAUGCAAUGUUCCCUGCAGCCUUACCCCUUUAUACUGCCAGCAACAUGCUGUAGACUUGCUGAGUCCCAAGUGAGAGUCCCUUGGGCCUCUGUGUAGCCUCUCUGCCCCUGGACUAGAUUAUGUGAUUGUGAGAUCCUUAGAAUGGUAGAAAUUGAAGAGGCGCUUUGAUUCUUCUCUCAGACAUACAUCCCUUCCAGAUAAUCUGGACCAUGAAAUACCUCAUAAGGAGGGAAUUGCAGAAGAUACAAGCCUCUGGCCUGGACUCCCUAGAACCACAACAACCUGGGACUAGCCGCCUCAGACUUCUUUUGCGUGAGAAAGCUAUAAACUUCUAUAUCACCAUUUUGUGAGAUAUUGUCAUUAUGCACAGCUGAGAAAAUUUAGCUGGUGACUCUGAGCUUCUAGCAACAUUCUCUUGCCUAAUUUGGGGCUCCACUUGCAGUGCAUGUGGGUGCCAGAUGGCUUAUCACUUGGGACCCCCAGCAAAUGUUACCCCAUACUGGGGAACCUCUGCAUGUAAUAAGUGUUCCUGUGCCACCAGGACUGACGUGGGAGCAGGGUUGAGAGAAGCUGUAUUGCCUUGGGCAAGUCACAGAGCCUCUAUAGAUCUUAGGUUCCGUGGUAUGAAAUGAAGACAGUUUUCAGGGUCUUUACUGUCUUGUGCUCAAAAUAUAUUCUUUAUAAAUGAAGAAGCAUGGAAUACAUGGAGGACUUGGGCAUCAAGCAAACCUGAGUCCAAAUCUUGGCUGGGCUACUGGCCAGCAGUGCAAGUUGGACAAGUUCCUUAACCUCUUUGAGCUUCUGUUUGCUUAAAGCUGAAAAUUAAACUAAAUUUGGAACAAAUUUUUAGGGCUGAAGCAAGGAUUAGAAAUACUGUACACAGAGGCUGGGGAUAUAGCUCAGUGAUAGUGCAUGUUUAUAUACUUAAGCCCCUGAAUUUAAUCUCCAGUACCCGCCCCCAUACUGUAGACAAUACUGCAGACAAAUUUCUGGGCACAAAGUAGUCAUUCAGUAAACAGAGCUGGUAGGUGUCGGUAAGUAGAGUGACCAAGGAGUUAGCCCUAAACAGAUUUUCACUGAGCUGAGCCUUGCAAGAUGACAUAUGUCUUGGAAGGUGGUGGGAAAGACAUUCCAGGCAGGUAAGCAGCAUGGGCAAUGAGGAUUCACAUAAGGUAAAUAACAAGGACACUGGUCCUGAAUGGGGAGACGGCAUGUGCCUCCAGUGAUACAUGGCAGACCGGAACAAGUGCUGCCUCCAGCUAAGGGAGCAUUGUGUGUUACAUGGCAUUCAAACUGGUGUCAAGUGACAGCAAGAUUUUUAGAGCAAGAGUUGGAAUGUAGGUGGUUAGGUGUAGACACCAUUAAAGGCAGGAAGCUAGGAAAAGGGCCUGGGUGACUGGGGACAGGGAAGCUGUGAGUGUAGAAAGGGCUGUUAUGGAUGAGAAAUGUUCAGACGUUUUAAAUAGAGCAUGGGCAAAAGGAAGCCUGGCUGGGCAAGCCUCUGUGGCUGUUCCCUUCCCUGCUUCUUUAAGCAACCCUGAGCAGGCUGUCUUUGAGGCUAAAGCAGAAUGCCUGAAACCAGAAGGUGCCUGUGAGGUUGCUUGGGUGACCAGGCAAAGGGGUGGGUGCAGGACUUCUGCUCAGAAGUUGGAUGGAAGGCUGGGCAAGUAGGCAGGCAUUCACUGCAGCUUCCUUCCUGCCUGGUGGUUGGCUGCGGGCCCUGAACUUGACCUCAGAUGACCUGUGUGUUGGAAACCAUUCCAUGGCCAGGAGUAGUCAGGCUUCAUCUUCAGCUUUUUUUGUCCUUUGAAGCAGGGACUAUCUUAGCCCAAACUGGCUGCUGCUGCUCUAAGUCUCCCCCUUCCUUGGCAGGACCUUACUCUAGUGCUUGCCAGCAGGGUGUCUACUAUGAACAACUUGCUCUCUUUGCUUCUUAGCUUAGAAUGGAUGACUUUAAGGGUACUAGAUCAUUGUACAGAUCAGGAAAUGAAGACUAAGAGAGAAGGUUGAUGUAUUCCCCCCAAGGUCACACAGCUCGUUAACAGAACCAGAACAACCGAACGGUCCAACUCUCAGACCAGUGCUCCCUGUCCCGGCUGAGAGCCGCUUAACUCCAAUGUAUUAAGCUGUGGACAUUUUUCAUCUUGGCUGAUUUGCAAGUCUGAAUUAACAUGAGUGUACUGAAAUCUUUGUGGGAGAAGCGAGUUAUGUUUCAGAUGUUGUCCUUAGUAAUAAAUAGUACUAGUUUGGAUGUUCUGCAGAUUGCACUGACAUGAAAAAUAAUCCCCCAAAUGCCUGAAUUUGGCCAGUGUCACUGAUUAGUGGUUGCUUUAGGAGACUCAGUCCAACAGCAGCUUUCAUAAGGAAGAAGAAACCACAUUUUCUCCUUGAUCAAUGUGUAAAGUAUAGACAGCAUAUUUAUGAAAGAGAGUGAUUGAUUUCUAGCAUAUCAGCUAAGUAUAUUAGUCUUACACAUGCUGCUGUUGCUCAGAACUCUUUUUAGGAUUACUUCAAGAGCCUGUUUGUGGGUUCCAAUAGAGCCAGGCUUUGUUCACCAAUCACAAACACCACGUUGAAUAUCUGUGGGCUGGGCCAGGAACACAAUAGGUGGCAGGACAAACACGCAUGUGUACCUUACAAAUGACCUCUUUACCUCAAAAAAAUAAAAUGUCUUACCUAGAGGUUUGAAA
rnacentral:lncRNA from 1 species